UCAAAUAUCCGUGAGUUCCUUUCCAGCCAUAAAGCAUAUGAUACUCCAGCAAUCAUCAUUUUGAAUAUAUUGGCUCUACAUGAUUUCCCUUUAGCUUUACUGAUGAACCAGUGGAGUUUUUGAUCCCAAGUAUAUGUCUUUGGAUGAUUCUCUUGAAUCCAAUGUAUUGCUUGCUCCCAUAAUUCAAUUGAAAAAGGACAGGAUAGCAUCAGAUGAUCUCUUGUCUCAAUAUGGCUAUGGCAUAAAACACAGUGUUGGUCUAUAUUCAGUCCCUAGUUAGCUAAUUUGUCCUUGGUUGGUAAUCUGUCCUGUAACAUUAGCCAGAAAUUGAACACAACUUUAGGUCUAGCAUAAUUCUGGAUGAUUAGGUUC
rnacentral:lncRNA from 1 species